AGCGAAGUAGCUCAGGGGUAGAGUACUCGGCUCAUAACCGAGGGGUCCGCAGUUCGAAUCUGUGUUUCGCUA
rnacentral:tRNA from 1 species